GCCGGACCGCUGCCCUUCGCGCCUGGGCUGGCCGCCGUGGGGCGCCAGCUACCGGCUGGGGUGGGGGCUGGUUUUCUCGCAGGCCAUCGGGGAAGGCCGCUGGAGAGAGGGGAGGGAGGACAGGGGGUGGGAGCGGCGGGAGGGCAGCCGGAGAGCAGGGCGAGGAGGCGAGACCUGGUUCCAUCUAAGGAUAGACACAUGGAAAGAGUGUCAUACUUAUCAAACCAUAAGAAGAAGCUGGGAAAUCUGCAAAAUCACACUGCUGCUGAACCCAUCAGAGUGCUGACUUUGAACGGCUACCAUCAGGGUAAAAUUUGAGGAACGCUGGCAUGAGCCUCCAGACAGACAAGACACUGGCAAUCCCUCACCUGUCCCAGAGCACUGGAAGUGUUAGGUAGUUAGAUAAGUGGGGGCACCAGGCAGACAGAUGGAGGAGAGAGAGGAUGGUCUGGAUGAUGGUGGCAUGCCUGCCUCCAGCAUAAAGGGGCUUUACUUCUUUUAAGUGAGUGCCAGCAAGAAACCAGUUAGAACUAAAGGGAUGGAACUUCAUGGUAGUGACAAGGACCUAACCGGACAUGACCCAGUGCUCAUUGUAAUAUAAUUAGCAUUGAGGUUCUGGCCCCUCCAUGGGUUUUUCUGUGUUCAUCAUGGAUAAGGGCAUUCACAAAAGGGGACAAACAUGACUGAGCACUCCAGGGGCAAGAGCCAUCAAUCAAUCAAAAGACCACCUCUAAGUGAGGGUACAAGAGGAAGGAGCAAAGACCAUUGCUGUCUGCACUUGGAUCAGCCUGCCUCCUGUUCUUGGAGGGGUACUUCACCUUUCCUAAUAAAAUCUUUCACUGCACAAUG